CCCUUAGAUGUUCUGGGUCGCACGCGCGCUACACUGAUGCAUUCAACGAGUAAUCUUUGACCUUGGUCGACAGAUCUGGGUAAUCUUUUGAAAUUGCAUCGUGAUGGGGCUUGCGGGUUGCAAUUACCCGCACCAACGAGGAAUUCCUAGUAAACGCAAGUCAUCAACUUGCAUUGAUUACGUCCCUGCCCUUUGUACACACCGCCCGUCGCUCCUACCGAUUGAGCGGUCCGGUGAAGACUCAGGAGAUGGGCGCGUGCUUGGUUCGCCAACUGCGCUGCCUGCCAAAUUUGUCUAAACCUUAUCGCUUAGAGGAAGGAGAAGUCGUAACA
rnacentral:rRNA from 1 species